UUCAGCUCCAACGCUCUUUGCAGAAUUUGGUCCAUCGAUUGUGAGGCUAGCAGCUUCGUCUCUAGAAGCAUACCAAGUAUUGCCACAAGCAAUACACUCCAGCGAGUAACGAUCUCCGUGUCCAGCCUGAAUAAUCUCCAUGAGCCGCACUUUUUUCUCAGUGCAUCUUUUGCAGCGAGCAUCAGUCAUCUGUAUGGGCUCUGGCUCCUCGGGCUCCUUGCUUGCCAACUCUUCUGCUGUUAAAGCUUCCUUUAGCUCAUUGGGGGACAUG
rnacentral:misc_RNA from 1 species